GACGAACGCUGGCGGCGUGCCUAAUACAUGCAAGUCGAGCGAAUCUCAGGGAGCUUGCUCCCUGAGAUUAGCGGCGGACGGGUGAGUAACACGUGGGUAACCUGCCUGUAAGACUGGGAUAACUUCGGGAAACCGGAGCUAAUACCGGAUACUUUCUUUUCUCGCAUGAGGGAAGAUGGAAAGAUGGUUCUGCUAUCACUUACAGAUGGACCCGCGGCGCAUUAGCUAGUUGGUGAGGUAACGGCUCACCAAGGCGACGAUGCGUAGCCGACCUGAGAGGGUGAGCGGCAACACUGGGACUGAGACACGGCCCAGACUCCUACGGGAGGCAGCAGUAGGGAAUCUUCCGCAAUGGACGAAAGUCUGACGGAGCAACGCCGCGUGAGCGAAGAAGGCCUUCGGGUCGUAAAGCUCUGUUGUUAGGGAAGAACAAGUACGAGAGUAACUGCUCGUACCUUGACGGUACCUAACCAGAAAGCCACGGCUAACUACGUGCCAGCAGCCGCAGUAACAC
rnacentral:rRNA from 1 species